GAUGAACGCUGGCGGCGUGCUUAACACAUGCAAGUCGAACGGUGAAGCAGGAGCUUGCUCCUGUGGAUCAGUGGCGAACGGGUGAGUAACACGUGAGCAAUCUGCCCUGGACUCUGGGAUAAGCGUUGGAAACGACGUCUAAUACCGGAUACGACGCGCGAAGGCAUCUUCUGCGCGUGGAAAGAACGUCGGUUCGGGAUGAGCUCGCGGCCUAUCAGCUAGUUGGUGAGGUAACGGCCCACCAAGGCGACGACGGGUAGCCGGCCUGAGAGGGUGACCGGCCACACUGGGACUGAGACACGGCCCAGACUCCUACGGGAGGCAGCAGUGGGGAAUAUUGCACAAUGGGCGCAAGCCUGAUGCAGCAACGCCGCGUGAGGGACGACGGCCUUCGGGUUGUAAACCUCUUUUAGUAGGGAAGAAGCGAAAGUGACGGUACCUGCAGAAAAAGCACCGGCUAACUACGUGCCAGCCGCCGCCGUAACAC
rnacentral:rRNA from 1 species